rnacentral:rRNA from 1 species
AUUGAACGCUGGCGGCAGGCUUAACACAUGCAAGUCGAGCGAGCGGCGGACGGGUGAGUAAUGUCUGUGAAACUGCCUGCUGGCGGGGGAUAACUACUUGAAACGGUAGCUCAUACCGCAUACCAUCUUAUAUGCCCAGAUGUGAUUAGCUAGUAGGUGGGGUAAUGGCUCACCUAGGCGACGAUCCCUAGCUGGUCUGAGAGGAUGACCAGCCACACUGGAACGGAGACACGGUCCAGACUCCUACGGGAGGCAGCAGUGGGGAAUAUUGCACAAUGGGCGAAAGCCUGAUGCAGCCAUGCCGCGUGUGUGAAGAAGGCCUUCGGGUUGUAAAGCACUUUCAGCGAGGAGGCGUUACUCGCAGAAGAAGCACCGGCUAACUCCGUGCCAGCAGCCGCGGUAAUUC